rnacentral:tRNA from 1 species
GACGGUAUAGCUCAGUGGUAGAGUGCUUGCCCACCAUGCAUAAUGUCCUGGGUUCAAUCCCCGGUACCCCCA